UACGGGGGGGGGCAAGCGUUGUUCGGAAUUACUGGGCGUAAAGGGCUCGUAGGCGGCCAACUAAGUCCGACGUGAAAUCCCAAGGCUUAACCUUGGAACUGCGUCGGAUACUGGAUGGCUUGAAUUCGGGAGAGGGAUGCAGAAUUCCAGGUGUAGCGGUGAAAUGCGUAGAUAUCUGGAGGAAUACCGGUGGCGAAGGCGGCUACCUGGACAAUUGCUGACGCUCAGGCACGAAAGCGUGGGGAGCAAACAGG
rnacentral:rRNA from 1 species